rnacentral:rRNA from 1 species
UACAGAGGGUGCGAGCGUUGUUCGGAAUUAUUGGGCGUAAAGAGCUCGUAGGCGGUUUGGCAAGUCGGGUGUGAAAACUCCGGGCUCAACUCGGAGACGCCACUCGAUACUGCUAUGACUCGAGUCCGGUAGGGGAGUGCGGAAUUCCUGGUGUAGCGGUGAAAUGCGCAGAUAUCAGGAGGAACACCGGUGGCGAAGGCGGCACUCUGGGCCGGUACUGACGCUGAGGAGCGAAAGCGUGGGGAGCGAACAGG